rnacentral:rRNA from 1 species
UACGUAGGGUGCAAGCGUUGUCCGGAAUUAUUGGGCGUAAAGAGCUCGUAGGCGGUCUGUCGCGUCGGCUGUGAAAACCCGGGGCUCAACCCCGGGCCUGCAGUCGAUACGGGCAGACUAGAGUGCGGUAGGGGAGACUGGAAUUCCUGGUGUAGCGGUGAAAUGCACAGAUAUCAGGAGGAACACCGGUGGCGAAGGCGGCAUUCUGGACCGAUAUUGACGCUGAGGAGCGAAAGCGUGGGGAGCAAACAGG